CACAAUAAAAUAUGAAGGCCUGGCUUCGCGGUCGGCUGAAAUAUUUUUUUUCACCCAUGUCUUUUGCGCACUUGUUGUUUCCUGGGCGGGUUCGCCCGCCACCAGGACCAAACCAUAAACCUUUUUUUUAUGCAGUUGCCAUCAGCGUCAGUAAAAACAAUGUAAUUAUUA
rnacentral:misc_RNA from 1 species